GGAAAUAGCUCAGUGGCAGAGCACAUGCUUAGCACGCAUGAAGUCCUGAGUUCAAUCCUCAGUACCUCCA
rnacentral:tRNA from 1 species